rnacentral:lncRNA from 1 species
AAUUUAAGCUCCAGAUCCAGCUAGAUCUGUCCCUAGGCUGAUUUACUCCUGGAGGAUCAGGGGAUGGCCUGCAAGGUGUCCUGGGCUCGUUGCCAUUUCCAUUUGUCUCCCAGCCCUUCAUGUGGGGCAGCACUGGGGGGCAGCUGAGCUCAGUGCUACCCUCAGCCCCUUCUGCUCGGUCUGCAUGUGUUCCCAUUAGGGGCGAAACACAGCACAGACUGCACUGAGAUUUCUGCUGGGGGGUUUAAGAAGGCAGAAAAUACAUCAGUGGGGAAUAUAUAUACAUAUAUAUAUAUGUAUGUGUGUGUAUGCAUAUAUAUAUACACACGUAUAAAUGCAUAGGACAGCUGCUUUAGUUGAUGGGAACUAUGUGAAAAGUGCUGGGAUUUCCUAAGCCCUUCCCUAAGGGCUGUGCAUGUAAUACAGUGAAGAAAGAUUGUAUAUUUAAAGGGGGUCAAAAGGAGAGGCAGCCAGGAGAGCUUGGGAGAAAAACAGGCUGCUCCUGGAGUGUUUGGGGUGGGUGUUUGGGCUGUAGGGACGUUUCCAUGAGGUCUGGCUGGGGUCUGUUAGUGUUGGAGCAUCGCCCCUCCACGGUCUGUGAGGCGCCAGAGGGUGCUCGUGCACCGCAGUGCAGAGCUGUCCUCUUCCUCAGCCAUUUUAAACCGAAUGUUUUCCUCUCCUGCAGUCUCCAUUUUAUGUUUCCAGUGCAGAAAAUAGAACAGGGAUUACUGGGGGAGGAAGGGAAGGGGGGGAGAGGUGCCGAGGCAAAGCCCAGCGCUGGGGGAGGGCGGGUAUGGGACGGUGUGAGGGGCUCCCUUGGGAGGAUGCUGGAAGUGGGCUCUGCAGGGAUGCUCUGCUUUAUCCCCCUGCCAGCCCCGAGCCCUCCCCGUGCUGCUUCAGAGUGUGGCAUCACUUUUUGGCCCUCAUCUCUGCACCCAGCUGGGCGCAUCACCGCAGGCCCUAUGGGAUCUGCAGGGCUGCUCCUGCCUGCCUUCCCUCUUUCCUUGCUGAGGAUGCUGAGUUCUGUUCUCGUCCCGUUUCCUCCCUGCCCACGCGUGCUGGGUGGGAUGUUGUCCCAGGUUUGUUACCAGCACGUCACCUUUCCCAGCUGCACGGAAAGCCCCGCGAGAACCUCCAGCAUGCAAUAGCUGAGUGCUUGUUGGCAUGGCCUCUAUUUCUAGGAACUGCCCUUUAUCAUCACUGUGCAGCACAGGGGGGGCCAGGCAGGCAUUUCUCAAUCCGGGAUAUGAAGCAAACUCUGCAUUCGUUUCCAGAAGGGAAUAUCAUGGAGCAGACCCAAAGGGCAGCUCCUAACCCCUGGGUUACGUGUGCAGCAAUGGCAGCUGGUGUCGCAGUGUCCAGCUGACCCCACAGCAGCCGUGCACAAAGAGGCUUCUCAGGAAGAUGAUAAACAUCCUAAGAACUGCUGUGGCUUCUGGAGACGCUCACAUCAGUGUCUUUUCCUUUAAACAUCCUGAGCUGAAGGGCCCUUUGCCUCUGAUGUCAUUCGUGCCCACACAGCCGAAAAUAGGGAGAAAGGAAGUGUGGAAGAGAAGAGGAUACUGUGUGCAAAGCUGGCAAAAGAGGAGGCAUAGGAGGAGUGCAGGAGAGCAGCUGGUGGAGGUGAAUGCAGCUGUAAGAUGCAGUUGGGUGUCUGAGACAGCAGAAGAGUUGGGCUGAAUGCAAAGUUACGCCAAUAAUGUGCAGGUUGGAUUCCUGGGGAUGGAAGCUUGGGGGUACCGUGGGUAUGGCUCUGCUUUGCUGGUGGGAUGGAUCCCAAGAGCAGCAAGUGGAGGGUUUGCCUGCAGAGCCCUGAGGGGUUGGGCGUCACUGUAUGCCCCCUUCCAUCCAUGUGCUCUGAGAGCACUGACCAAACUUGAGGGCCUUCUUAAGUAGCCCCUCACCUAAAUAAAGUGCAGCAAUUCACGUGAUGCACCAAAAGCCGUGUGACCAACUGGGCAGCCAGUUGGUGCUGUGGUCCCCUGCUCCAUUUCCUCCCUUGCUGUUUGGGAGGCCUGGUGGGUAUCAGCCCUCCUCUCCUUGCUUUCCAAACAGUCACGCUGUGCUCUGCUCUGCUCAUGCAGGCGUCUGGCAUCAGGCUGCUCUCUUCCAGCCCCAUCAGUUUCAGAUUUCAU